UACGUAGGGGGCAAGCGUUGUCCGGAUUUAUUGGGCGUAAAGAGCGUGUAGGCGGCUAGGUAGGUCCGUUGUGAAAACUCGAGGCUCAACCUCGAGACGCCGGUGGAAACCAUCUAGCUAGAGUCCGGAAGAGGAGACUGGAAUUCACGGUGUAGCAGUGAAAUGCGUAGAUAUCGUGAGGAAGACCAGUGGCGAAGGCGGGUCUCUGGACAGUUCCUGACACUGAGGCACGAAGGCCAGGGGAGCAAACGGG
rnacentral:rRNA from 1 species